rnacentral:rRNA from 1 species
AGCAGCCGCGGUAAUUCCAGCUCCAAUAGCGUAUAUUAAAGUUGUUGCAGUUAAAAAAGCUCGUAGUUGAAUUUCGGGAUCAAUACGUCGGUCGUGCUUCGGUACGUACUGGCGUCAUUGGUUUCUCCCUUCUGACGAACCACGAUGUCAUUAACUUGGUGUCAUGGGAAAUCAGGACUGUUACUUUGAAAAAAUUAGAGUGUUUAAAGCAGGCUCACGCUUGAAUACAUUAGCAUGGAAUAAUGAAAUAGGACGUUCGAUCCUAUUUUGUUGGUUUCUAGGAUCAACGUAAUGAUUAAUAGGGAUAGUUGGGGGCAUUAGUAUUCAAUUGUCAGAGGUGAAAUUCUUGGAUUUAUUGAAGACUAACUACUGCGAAAGCAUUUGCCAAGGAUGUUUUCAUUAAUCAAGAACGAAAGUUAGGGGAUCGAAGACGAUCAGAUACCGCCGUAGUCUUAACCAUAAACUAUGCCGACUAGGGAUCGGAUGAUGUUAAUUUUUAAUGACUCAUUCGGCGCCUUAA